GACGAACGCUGGCGGCGUGCCUAAUACAUGCAAGUCGAACGCAGUGGGGCCGGGUGAGUAACACGUGGGUAACCUCCCAUCAGAGGGGAUAACACUUGAAAACAGGUGCUAAACCGAUACGGAUGGCUGGACCCGCGGUGCAUUUGCUAGUUGGUGAGGUAACGGCUCACAAAGGCAACGAUGCAUAGCCGACUUGAGAGGGGAAGCGGCAACACUGGGACUGAGACACGGCCCAGACUCCUACGGUAGGCAGCGGUAGGGAAUCUUCGGCAAUGGACGAAAGUCUGACCGAGCAACGCCGCGUGAGUGAAGAAGGUUUUCGGAUCGUAAAGCUCUGGUGUUAGAGAAGCGGUAUCUAUCCAGAAAGCCACGGCUAACUACGUGCCAGCAGCCGCGGUAAUUC
rnacentral:rRNA from 1 species